rnacentral:rRNA from 1 species
UACGAGGGGUGCAAGCGUUGCUCGGAAUCAUUGGGCGUAAAGGGUAGGUAGGUGGUCUAAUUAGUCUGGGGUGAAAGCCUUGAGCUCAACUCAAGAAGUGCCUCGGAAACGGUUAGACUAGAGUCCUGGAGAGGGUCGCGGAAUUCCCGGUGUAGCGGUGAAAUGCGUAGAGAUCGGGAGGAACAUCAGAGGCGAAGGCGGCGACCUGGACAGGAACUGACACUGAACUACGAAAGCGUGGGGAGCAAACAGGAUUAGAUACCCUGGUAGUCCACGCUGUAAACGAUGAGCACUAAACUUAGUGGGACUUGACCCCUGCUGAGUUGUAGCUAACGCGCUAAGUGCUCCGCCUGGGAAGUACGGUCGCAAGACUAAA